UACGGAGGGUGCAAGCGUUAUCCGGAUUCACUGGGUUUAAAGGGUGCGUAGGCGGACAGGUAAGUCAGUGGUGAAAUCUCUGGGCUUAACUCAGAAACUGCCGUUGAUACUAUUUGUCUUGAAUAUUCUGGAGGUAAGCGGAAUAUGUCAUGUAGCGGUGAAAUGCUUAGAUAUCGGAAGGAACAUCAGUGGCGAAAGCGACUUCCUGGACCAAUACUGACGCUCAUGUGCGAAAGCGUGGGGAGCAAACAGG
rnacentral:rRNA from 1 species